CGAGUGUGCGUGCUCUCAAGCAGACCUAUGAGUGUUUGGUAGCUCUGUAGUGUGUGUUUGUGUGCACAUACUUGAUUGUGUGUGUUUUCUCAAUCUGCAGUCCUUGUUCACCCUGCAGCCUUGUGUCUGCUAUCCAGAUGGACUCAUUACAACGAUUCCUCCACAGCUGUAAGGAGCUUGCUCUACUUUUGUGUACAACAAAGACAAUUGAGCAUAAACAGAAAUGGUAACCUUUUGCUUUUUUUGUGUCAGGCCAGGUGUGUGCAGAUGACAGGAAGGGGCUGAUGGAGAAUUCCCAUAUGACCAAUCAAUACUGAGAUGACAGUAGCAGGAUGGCAUGUGUGUUGCUGUCAGGGAGAACUGCAGCAACAGCGUUGUACUGAAAAGCCCAUAUGUGCUCCCAGAGACCACUGAGCCGUGGGAGAAAAAUGGAUUACAAAUGAGAAAUUACCGCUGUGGAAUGAGAGGAAAACACAUUGCUUAAAUUUCCUUGUCUUUCAGG
ensembl:lncRNA